rnacentral:rRNA from 1 species
UACGUAGGGUGCGAGCGUUAAUCGGAAUUACUGGGCGUAAAAGCGUGCGCAGGCGGUUUUGUAAGACAGGCGUGAAAAUCCCCGAGCUCAACUUGGGAAUUGCGCUUGUGACUGCAAGGCUAGAGUGUGUCAGAGGGGGGUAGAAUUCCACGUGUAGCAGUGAAAUGCGUAGAGAUGUGGAGGAAUACCGAUGGCGAAGGCAGCCCCCUGGGACAUGACUGACGCUCAUGCACGAAAGCGUGGGGAGCAAACAGG